rnacentral:misc_RNA from 1 species
GCGAUUCCAUCCGGAGAGCUGGGGUUUGUGUACGCGUCGAGGUCGUUGCACGCGAGAGGGAGUCCGCAAGGCAAUCUCGAGGCGAAGGGGAUGGCGCUGGCAUUGGCAGGCGCGAUAAUCGGGC